CCUGCCGAUCGGUUGAAAGGUGUAUCAUACCUCUAAGGUGCUGCAUCCAUUUCCUGUGGCUCCCACAGUUUUUGGUUCUGGUACCAGAUGCAGCCCGCUGUGCCUUUGUUGACGUGACUUUUUGCUCAACCAGUGGUCUUCAAUUCUCAGCAAGCCACUGAGCAGCAGGCAGAUCCCAGAGAAGGCCCUGCCCUGACCCCACAGAUGCAGGCACACAUACCCAAGCCACAGGCCCACCUAGAAAAGAGCUGCACAGACACACGCGCUUCAUGCAGAGGCCCACCAUACUAUCGGAAUUUAUCUCCCUGA
rnacentral:lncRNA from 1 species